rnacentral:rRNA from 1 species
UACGUAGGGUGCGAGCGUUAAUCGGAAUUACUGGGCGUAAAGCGCACGUAGUCGGCUUUGCAAGUCGGAUGUGAAAUCCCCGGGCUCAACCUGGGAAUUGCAUUUGUGACUGCACGGCUAGAGUGUGUCAGAGGGGGGUAGAAUUCCACGUGUAGCAGUGAAAUGCGUAGAGAUGUGGAGGAAUACCGAUGGCGAAGGCAGCCCCCUGGGAUAACACUGACGCUCAUGCACGAAAGCGUGGGAGCAACAGG